UGAACUAUUUCUGCACCAUCAGUAUUAUUAUUUUUUUUGUGAAGGGGGCGGAGGCGGUGGGGAGAAAAACUCUCUGUUGGGCUGUGGGGAAAUCCACCAUGCAAGACAGUCUCAGCGGAUCCACAGAGCCAUCGAGCAGUGCCCAGGGAUAAUCUCCUCUUCACCUACAGACACCAGCGCACUGCAAUGUUCUCAAUGAUCUCCUUUGCUCAGGGAAGUAUUAACGCAGCGCAACAACAUUUUAAAAGGUUUCUGUUUGCGAUCCAAAUCUAAUUGGCGUUUGUCUGCGAGGUACACUGGUAAACCGUAGCUGCUUUUUUCUCUCUCUCUACCCGGUGAAAUUGUUUGCAAUUCCUGGAUGAGGAUUCAGCCGCUUGGACAGCCAGUAAGAUUUGAUUGUUAAGGUUUUCCCCAACCUUUAAAUCUUAAAAUCCCCCGUGGCGUUUCUACAUUUAUAGGACCUCAAUAUUCCAAACUUAUAUGCUGAAUGAAACAAAAUAAAACUACGUAAGACUGCAGCUCUGCUGGCCUUGGGAUAUUUCUGUCGGCGGUCUCUAUAAGAGGUUAUUUGCCAAGCGGGAUGUUGUAAUGUGAACUUUCCAACUAAUUGUCAAUUAAGUCUCCAAUUGAACAAAAGUCUUCUUCUUUCAAGUUAAUACUGUUUCUUCAAACAUAUGCCCGCUAUUUUGGGUUAUAGUUGUGAAGAGUACAUGGAUUUCGCAUUUUUCCCUCUUCUACUUUUGGUUGGCUGAAACUCGGCUCCAGAUUGAUUCGUUACACCUUUAAGGAAGUGGAUGCUUCGUACGGGAAGAGGAGGUCCUCCCGCUCUCUCUUUCUCUGCCGCGUUCUUCCUUGCACUGAUCUUACUCAGAAAUAUUACUCCAUACAAUCGUAUUUUGCACUACCGCCCACCUCUCUUUGUACCGAGUUUGUGCCGUAAAACCAACGACAGAGAAUAUUUUUUCGAAUACAAGUUCCUCUUCUCCUCAUAUAAAGAAUGCAGCUGGUCAAAUCCAAGCAAUAAUAAUUGAAAUCCCCAGUGCGUGCAUUAACUGUUGUGGCACUUUGCUUAACUUUAUUCCUUGUUUUUGCUCCCUGUUGGUCGCUCGGUGACCUGUUUAGGGUUGGUAGGGAGGAGGGGGUGUUGUUACGCUGGCUGCUUCGCCCGACUCCACGUUACAAGUCUGGGGUUGGGCUGCCUUCCAGCGACCACUGCUCACCGCUGUCGAGUCGCCGGGUCCCUCUCGCGCCGUCUCCCGGAGUCCAACGCUUCGUCUGUCAGCGGCACCAUGAGAAAACGGGCAACGGAAUACGCUGAGCCCGAACUUCAGAGAAGCGGUUCGCGUUCAACGCGCCAACCCCCCGCACACGCAGAAUUACCGCUCCGCAAUCGUUGUGCUCUGGAAUUUGCUGCCUGGAAGGGGAAGAGAAGCAGAUUUGGAUUUUUCCAAUGCCACUUUGAAAGGAACCAUCCAGAAGACUACAGGUGAAGAGCAGCGCUUGAGGUUGGACUUAAACAAUAGGCGAAUGAAUGUGGCUGUCAACCCAUAAUGAAAAUGGCAGAAGCAAACUAAAUGAAGAAGAAGUGUAGACACUAUAGCGUGGAGUAUCUGAAAUAUGGAGUUAUUCCAAUACCAAGCAACCAACAGCAGCUACUGCAUCUGUUGUGUGAAAAAGUUUUUUCAAGUGAAGCAAUGAAACUCUCCAGGCUUCUUGUACGUUUGAAGAGAAUACACUCAUAAAGCAAACAUGGACUUGGCUCACUUUCAGUCAUUUUGAACAAACUUUCAGAAAUGGCAAACACUUCAAAACAUGUUUUCCAGCACUUCAUAACGAAACAGUGAUGGUUUGCAUGCUUCAUACAUUUCAUUGCUUAUUGCUCAAUCUGGAAAGCCCCAUACAAUUGGAGAAGAAGCAUUUCUGCGAGCAGUUAGGGAGGCUUUGAGUAAGUUUUUGCAUAAGUCACCAGACCAAAUAAUUAAAGUGAUUCCACUCAGUGACAACUCUGUUCCUCUGUUCAAAGACGAAUAGAUGUAAUGUCUGAGAAUGUGGUAGACACAUUGUGCAACAUAUUUAGGACAACAGAAUUUGACAUCAAUUGGAUGAGUCAACUUUAUCAAACAACAAAUCUUUGCCCCUUGAUUAUAUUCAUUUCAAAAAAUAUUAAAGCAUGGUUCAAGAGUUGUUCGUAAGUGGACUAGAAACAGAUACUAAGGGGGAGUCAGUAUUUCGGGAUGUUGAGCAAUUUUACAAAGAAAAGGACAGUCUGCUCACCAAUAUUAUUGCUUGUGCAAAAAUGGGCACCAUCAAUGACAGUACACUACUAUGGAGUUAUUACUUUCUUGAAAAAAGCUGUUCCUAACAUAUUUACUAUCACUGUGUAAUUGACAGACAACAUCUUAUCACAAAAUACCUAAGUGAUCAGCUGUACAAAUCACUAAAUUCUGUUAUCACAGCAGUUAAUAAAAAUUAAGUCCCAUGCUCUCGAGAGCUUUGUAUUGGGGGUGAUGAACAGUUUGCAUGCUUGCUGUUGCACAUAGAAAUUAGAUGGCUCUCAAAAGGAAAUUGUCUGAGACCAUUUGUUAUACUUUUAUGAAACUGUGAUGUAAUUCUUUGAAGACGUCAAUGCUUCAUUCUGUAAUCAACUCAAGAAUUAGGCAUGACAUUGCUUAUUUGUCAGAAUUAUUCACAAAGUUUAAUGAAAUCAGUCUUCAAUUGCAAGGAGAUGAUGUGAAUCUUACCAAAAUAAAAUCAGUUGUCUCCACAUUUCUGUCCAAGUUAACCCUAUUCAAGUGCAACAUUGCAACAUUGGUCAUUGCAAUCUUUUCCGAUUUCCAAGCCUCUCUGAGUUGGAAGAGAAAGAAAGAAUACCAAAUGAUGAUCUUCACGUAUACUGUGCCCACCUGGGUGAGCUGCAUAAAGGCAUGUUAGAGAGAUUUCAGGAUCUUCUCUCAAUCCAAGUUCCAGAUUCGGUAAUAAAUCCAUUCCUGAACUCUUGUAAUGGGGAGGUAACAGGAAAGAUGGAGGAAGAACUGAUCUCGCUACAAAAUGACUUUGAGCUGAAUCCGAGACUCAAAAAAUUAUAUCAGGACUUUCAGUUGCAGAAAGAAACUAUCUGAAGGCUAUCCUACACUGUGGAAAAGGUCAAGAUGUUCUUUAUUGCCUUUCCAAUGUCACAUUUAGUGGAGGGCGGUAUCAAUGAACUUGCCCAAUUUUGUUGAAAGCAACAAAACAGACUGCAAAUGACUGAUUGUGAGGACCUGAGACUCCUGACUGACAUUCAGCCCGAUGUUAAUAUCACUGCAAACAACAGGAAUUCUGCAGAUGCUGCAAAUUCAAGCAACAUACAUCAAAGUUG